rnacentral:lncRNA from 1 species
GUAGGUGGAUGCGGCCUCGAUUAGCGGGGGAACCACAUGAAAAAAAGCGAGCUACUGGGUGUACCUCCUGGGUAGUUUGGAAAUCACCUAAGAUAUAUAUGUAUAUAUUUAUAAAUAAAAGUUAAUAUAUAUAAAUUAACAUUAAUUUUUUUUAACAGGAAAUGCACAAUGCUAAAAACUGCGUAGGAGAUUUUAAUACAAUAGUACUACCAAGCCUGAUGUUGGCCGCUAUUUCAAUGAAUGCAGCAGUGUCACAGCUAGCAAUCAAAAGUAACAAGAUAUUGAGGAAAUGCAGAUGGCAAUAAACUGUGUAGGAGUUCAUGAUUGCAAUAGAAUAAAAUCGACCAAGCCUGAAGUCAGCAGCCCCUUCAAUGAAUGCAGCAGUGUGACAGCCAGCAAUCAAAAGUUACAAGAUAUCGAGGAAAUGCAGAAGGCAAAAAACUGCGUAGGAGAUCAUUAAUACAAAAGUAUUAUAUAAACCAAACCUGAUGUUGCCAGCUCCUUCAAUGAAUGCAGCAGUGUGACAGCCAGCAAUCAAAAGUAACAAGAUAUCGAGGAAAUGCAGAAGGCAAAAAACUGCAUAGGAGAUCAUUAAUACAAUAGUAUUAUAUAAACCAAGCCUGAUGUUGGCCGCUCAUUCAAAGAAUGCAGCAGUGUGACAGCCAGCAAUCAAAAGUAACAAGAUGUCGAGGAAAUGCAGAGUGCAAUAAACUUUGUAGGAGAUUAUGAUUGCAAUAGAAUAAAAUCGACCAAGCCUGAAGUUCUUCAAUGCACGCAGCAGUGUGACAGCCAGCAAUCAAAAGUUACAAGAUAUCGAGGAAAUGCAGAAGGCAAAAAACUGCGUAGGAGAUUAUUAAUACAAUAGUAUUAUAUCAACCAAGCCUGAUGUCGGUAGCUUCUUCAAUGAAUGCAGCAGUGUGACAGCCAGCAAUCAAUAGUGAUAGUGACAAGAAUCUAGGAAAUACAGAAGGCAAAGAAGCAGAUGUCAUCAAAGAAGAUCUUUGUUCCUGCAAUGUUUCCGCAGACGAUACAUCCAACAGAGCGAAGUGGAAGGAAAAGACUCGGAAAAAAGACCCCACCACCAUAUGGGAACAAUGCAAGGGAGAGAGAGAGAAUAUAAUUUUAUAUUUUUAUUUUUUGAUAACAUAAAAUAAACCAACAAUAUCCUACACAUUUUUUUUAUUUCUUUUUGUGUCUGUCUUAAUAGUUAUUACAAAUCUGUGAUGCGAAACAAACUA